rnacentral:misc_RNA from 1 species
AGCAACUGCAUAUGCAAGAUUGGCUGAAUCCUCUGCCUCAAAGCUUGGCUUAUUUCAAAGUAAUGCAGAUGCUGGAGAUCUUGUUGAUGGUGUGGGUCUUCUGAACGUUCUUCCUGUAUCUGCUGAAAGUACUGGGAUGUUACCAAAUCGCCCAGAUGAUGUGAGAGGAUCUGACAUUUUGCUGGAAGCUGUAUUGGAGGCUGAGGUGGCUCACAAUGCCAAAGAUUUUUUUGCACAACCCCAAAAUCAAAUAAAAUGUGAAUGAGUUAGUAGUUCUUCAAAAAGAUUUUGCUGUUAAAGAUGUAUCUGUAGAAAGUGCUGCUCAUGGGAAUUUUGGCACUAGAAGUAAAACUAGCUUUCCUCUUUACAUUG